rnacentral:rRNA from 1 species
UACGUAGGGUGCAAGCGUUAAUCGGAAUUACUGGGCGUAAAGCGUGCGCAGGCGGUUAUAUAAGACAGUUGUGAAAUCCCCGGGCUCAACCGUGGAACUGCAUCUGUGACUGUAUAGCUAGAGUACGGUAGAGGGGGAUGGAAUUCCGCGUGUAGCAGUGAAAUGCGUAGAUAUGCGGAGGAACACCGAUGGCGAAGGCAAUCCCCUGGACCUGUACUGACGCUCAUGCGACGAAAGCGUGGGAGCAAACAGG